rnacentral:rRNA from 1 species
AUGGCUGUAUCAUCCUGAGUGCAUCCAGUCCCAUUUGAUCUUGGAAGAUAAGCAGGAUUGGCCCAGGUUAGUAUUUAGAUGGGAGGAAACGUUUAGGCAUCUAUU